GUCUACGGCCGUGCCACCCUGAGCAAGCCUGAUCCCAUCUGAUCUCGGAAGCUAAGCAGGGUCGGGCCUGGUUAGUACUUGGAUUAGACACCACCUAGGAAAACCAGGUGUGGCUGUAGGUG
rnacentral:rRNA from 1 species